GGGUUGUGAGGUUAAGCGACUAAGCGUACACGGUGGAUGCCCUGGCAGUCAGAGGCGAUGAAGGACGUGGCAAUCAGAAGCGAAACAUCUUCGGGUUGUGAGGUUAAGCGACUAAGCGUACACGGUGGAUGCCCUGGCAGUCAGAGGCGAUGAAGGACGUGCUAAUCUGCGAAAAGCGUCGGUAAGGUGAUAUGAACCGUUAUAACCGGCGAUGUCCGAAUGGGGAAACCCAGUGCAAUUCGUUGCACUAUCGUUAACUGAAUACAUAGGUUAACGAGGCGAACCGGGGGAACUGAAACAUCUAAGUACCCCGAGGAAAAGAAAUCAACCGAGAUUCCCCCAGUAGCGGCGAGCGAACGGGGAGCAGCCCAGAGUCUGAAUCAGCUUGUGUGUUAGUGGAACGGUCUGGAAAGUCCGACGGUACAGGGUGAUAGUCCCGUACACCAAAAUGCACAGGUUGUGAACUCGAAGAGUAGGGCGGGACACGUGGUAUCCUGUCUGAAUAUGGGGGGACCAUCCUCCAAGGCUAAAUACUCCUGACUGACCGAUAGUGAACCAGUACCGUGAGGGAAAGGCGAAAAGAACCCCGGCGAGGGGAGUGAAAAAGAACCUGAAACCGUGUACGUACAAGCAGUGGGAGCACCUUCGGGUGUGACUGCGUACCUUUUGUAUAAUGGGUCAGCGACUUAUAUUCUGUAGCAAGGUUAACCGUAUAGGGGAGCCGCAGGGAAACCGAGUCUUAACUGGGCGUUAAGUUGCAGGGUAUAGACCCGAAACCCGGUGAUCUAGCCAUGGGCAGGUUGAAGGUUGGGUAACACUAACUGGAGGACCGAACCGACUAAUGUUGAAAAAUUAGCGGAUGACUUGUGGCUGGGGGUGAAAGGCCAAUCAAACCGGGAGAUAGCUGGUUCUCCCCGAAAGCUAUUUAGGUAGCGCCUCGUGAAUUCAUCUUCGGGGGUAGAGCACUGUUUCGGCUAGGGGGUCAUCCCGACUUACCAACCCGAUGCAAACUACGAAUACCGAAGAAUGUUAUCACGGGAGACACACGGCGGGUGCUAACGUCCGUCGUGAAGAGGGAAACAACCCAGACCGCCAGCUAAGGUCCCAAAGUCAUGGUUAAGUGGGAAACGAUGUGGGAAGGCACAGACAGCCAGGAUGUUGGCUUAGAAGCAGCCAUCAUUUAAAGAAAGCGUAAUAGCUCACUGGUCGAGUCGGCCUGCGCGGAAGAUGUAACGGGGCUAAACCAUGCACCGAAGCUGCGGCAGCGACACUAUGUGUUGUUGGGUAGGGGAGCGUUCUGUAAGCCUGCGAAGGUGACCUGUGAGGGUUGCUGGAGGUAUCAGAAGUGCGAAUGCUGACAUAAGUAACGAUAAAGCGGGUGAAAAGCCCGCUCGCCGGAAGACCAAGGGUUCCUGUCCAACGUUAAUCGGGGCAGGGUGAGUCGACCCCUAAGGCGAGGCCGAAAGGCGUAGUCGAUGGGAAACAGGUUAAUAUUCCUGUACUUGGUGUUACUGCGAAGGGGGGACGGAGAAGGCUAUGUUAGCCGGGCGACGGUUGUCCCGGUUUAAGCAUGUAGGCUGAUUAUCCAGGCAAAUCCGGAUAAUCAAGGCUGAGGUGUGAUGACGAGGCACUACGGUGCUGAAGUAACAAAUGCCCUGCUUCCAGGAAAAGCCUCUAAGCAUCAGGUAACAUCAAAUCGUACCCCAAACCGACACAGGUGGUCAGGUAGAGAAUACCAAGGCGCUUGAGAGAACUCGGGUGAAGGAACUAGGCAAAAUGGUGCCGUAACUUCGGGAGAAGGCACGCUGGUGUGUAGGUGAAGUCCCUGCGGAUGGAGCUGAGACCAGUCGAAGAUACCAGCUGGCUGCAACUGUUUAUUAAAAACACAGCACUGUGCAAACACGAAAGUGGACGUAUACGGUGUGACGCCUGCCCGGUGCCGGAAGGUUAAUUGAUGGGGUUAUCCGUAAGGAGAAGCUCUUGAUCGAAGCCCCGGUAAACGGCGGCCGUAACUAUAACGGUCCUAAGGUAGCGAAAUUCCUUGUCGGGUAAGUUCCGACCUGCACGAAUGGCGUAAUGAUGGCCAGGCUGUCUCCACCCGAGACUCAGUGAAAUUGAACUCGCUGUGAAGAUGCAGUGUACCCGCGGCAAGACGGAAAGACCCCGUGAACCUUUACUAUAGCUUGACACUGAACAUUGAGCCUUGAUGUGUAGGAUAGGUGGGAGGCUUUGAAGCGUGGACGCCAGUCUGCGUGGAGCCAACCUUGAAAUACCACCCUUUAAUGUUUGAUGUUCUAACGUUGGCCCCUGACCGGGGUUGCGGACAGUGUCUGGUGGGUAGUUUGACUGGGGCGGUCUCCUCCCAAAGCGUAACGGAGGAGCACGAAGGUUAGCUAAUCCUGGUCGGACAUCAGGAGGUUAGUGCAAUGGCAUAAGCUAGCUUGACUGCGAGCGUGACGGCGCGAGCAGGUGCGAAAGCAGGUCAUAGUGAUCCGGUGGUUCUGAAUGGAAGGGCCAUCGCUCAACGGAUAAAAGGUACUCCGGGGAUAACAGGCUGAUACCGCCCAAGAGUUCAUAUCGACGGCGGUGUUUGGCACCUCGAUGUCGGCUCAUCACAUCCUGGGGCUGAAGUAGGUCCCAAGGGUAUGGCUGUUCGCCAUUUAAAGUGGUACGCGAGCUGGGUUUAGAACGUCGUGAGACAGUUCGGUCCCUAUCUGCCGUGGGCGCUGGAGAAUUGAGGGGGGCUGCUCCUAGUACGAGAGGACCGGAGUGGACGCAUCACUGGUGUUCGGGUUGUCAUGCCAAUGGCACUGCCCGGUAGCUAAAUGCGGAAGAGAUAAGUGCUGAAAGCAUCUAAGCACGAAACUUGCCCCGAGAUGAGUUCUCCCUGAGACUUUAAGUCUCCUGAAGGAACGUUGAAGACGACGACGUUGAUAGGCCGGGUGUGUAAGCGCAGCGAUGCGUUGAGCUAACCGGUACUAAUGAACCGUGAGGCUUAACCUUACAACGCCGAAG
rnacentral:rRNA from 1 species